rnacentral:rRNA from 1 species
CAGCAGCCACGGGAAUACCAGCAGCCCAAGUGGUGGUCGCGAUUAUUGGGCCUAAAGCGCUCGUAGCCGGGCCGGUAAGUCCCUUGUGAAAUCGGACGGCCUAACCGUUCGGCGUGCAAGGGAUACUGUCGGUCUUGAGGCCGGGAGACGUCCGAGGUACUCCGGGGGUAGCGGUGAAAUGUUCUGAUCCUCGGGGGACCACCGGUGGCGAAGGCGUUCGACGAGAACGGGCCUGACGGUGAGGGGCGAAGGCUAGGGGAGCAAACGGGAUUAGAGACCCCUGUAUCCCUGUCUCUUAUAU